CCAAGUUGGAAGCGGUGGGGGUGUAAGCCGGAACUCCUCUCUACGUGCUCGUAUCUCCUAUCACCUUAUCCAGAUGUUACCGCCUCCAUUGGCCCGAAAAGAGAGGAGAAAAUCUGGGACUGAGUUAGAAAGCAGCACAGGCUCUGCUGACGCUGCCGGGACAACGGGCUCUGUGGUCGCUUUUUGUGGCGAUCAUGGCAGAGGAUGUGACUGGAAACUUCUGGAAAUGGCGGCGGCGAAGAGGCUGAACAGAGUAUUCACAUGUUGUUUUUGCAGGGCGGGUGGGAGAGUUUGUGAGGUCGAACCCGGUUAAGAUAGGUCUAAAGGCAGAGGCAGGGAGUCAGCCCCCUAAAAUCGCAGCUGCAACGGACGAACCCAACGUGUUCGGAGACGCUGGGCGCGUGGCUGGGCGCCCACGUCCACGCCGCAGUGCGCUUGCGCGCCGGCUGGGCAGCACCUGCGCCGGAACCCGCGGACCCGGAGGCUUGCCGGGAGUUCAGUGGGGCAGCGACGCGCCCACCGUCACCUGCGCCAGGUGGGGCUCCAGUGCCAGUCUUUAAAGUAUCUUAACGUGCACCUGCGGCGGAGACAUGGCGAACCCCACAAUGAAGAUGCUCUUUCCCAUUCACACCUUCGAGUAACCAUUUUAGAGAAACUUAAGUACAUUUCUCCACGUCCGAGAUAGUAUUUCAGAGGGAACUGCUCAAAUACAGGAGUGAGGAAAAUUUACGGUCUCAGCCUACCAGCAGCGAGCAGCCUUCGGAUGCGUUUUAUUUACAUCGAGUCAUUUCUCUCAAAAUGGGAAAAGAGAGACUGCUACUGUAACUAUGAUGCCCUUACUAUUUCCUGCAAGGACAAAAAGCUCUACAUUUUCACUUCUCCAUGUUAUUAAGAGAACCAACAAAAACACAGAUUUGAGGAAACAAAUGAUUAAAAAGGCUUCAAACUCCUAGAUUCUGACAUUAAUAACUGUCAGAGGAAUUUCUACCUAAGAAGACAUUCAUACACAGUCUCUCCUCUUUUCAAACUAAGGCAAAAAUGAAUUCGGUACCUUGUUCAUAGCAGAGAUGGGCAGCCAUCCAUUCUGUCUUUGGGCUAAAUCCAGGACGGGAAGUACAGCUGCUGCUUUAUGUCCUUCUGGAUAGUUUCCUACAAUUGCUUCUAUCCUCUGUAUCAAAGAAAAAGCACCUGUUUUAAUACAUUUGGAAGAUAUUAAAUAGUUUGUAAAUCAAGUAUAAUGUUAA